rnacentral:tRNA from 1 species
AAGUAUGAAGCAAACUCUUGCAAUUAGUUUCGACCUAAUUAUAGAUAUUAAGUUAUCCUUACUUA